rnacentral:rRNA from 1 species
GGCGUGAUACCGCUUAGAAUAAAACGGACGGAGCCAUCUGGAGCCAUCGGGAAUCAGUCGUAUGGUAUGUGAACGUACAUUGGUAUCGUAACGAAAGUACGACCAGUGUAUAUUAGUAGCAUCCGCUCGACGCAUUUCUCGAAGGUAAGCGCCGCGACCGAUACGAAAGGCCAGUGAAGCGAUUCGAUUGAGGUCGAGGCCCGCAAGGGUCUUGCUACCAGUCUUUUCGCGUGAGUCGCUGGACCGCAGUAUGUAUCGAGCGCCGGAAAUUAUAUACGUCGGCCAAAAAGCUCACUUGAGUAGCGUAUAGUUGGUUCAUUAGCUGGUACCUGCUCGCAGGUGCUGGCGACUCGGGUCGACUAGAAGUUACCAGUGACGUAGACGUAUUGGCGUCGGCGGCGUCAGAGUUGGCCACCCAUCCGACCCGUCUUGAAACACGGACCAAGGAGUCUAACAUAUGCGCGAGCUAAUGGGUGGAAAACCCAAAGGCGCAAUAAAAGUAAAGGCUGUUUCGGACAGCUAAGGUACGAUCCUGGAGUCCAGGCUCCAGGCGCAGUACCGUCCCGUCUCGACCGCAUAUCGGUAGGGCGGAGACAGAGUGCAUACGUUGGGACCCGAAAGAUGGUGAACUAUGCCUGAGCAGAGCGAAGCCAGAGGAAACUCUGGUGGAGGUUCGUAGCGGUUCUGACGUGCAAAUCGAUCGUCAGACU